rnacentral:rRNA from 1 species
UACGUAGGGUGCGAGCAUUGUCCGGAAUUAUUGGGCGUAAAGAGCUUGUAGGCGGUUUGUCGCGUCUGCCGUGAAAAUCCGGGGCUCAACCCCGGACUUGCGGUGGGUACGGGCAGACUAGAGUGUGGUAGGGGAGACUGGAAUUCCUGGUGUAGCGGUGAAAUGCGCAGAUAUCAGGAGGAACACCGAUGGCGAAGGCAGGUCUCUGGGCCACUACUGACGCUGAGAAGCGAAAGCGUGGGGAGCGAACAGG